GCCCGGAUAACUCAGUCGGUAGAGCGUGAGACUCUUAAACUUGGGGUGGGGUGGUUCGAAUCCCACAUUGGGCA